rnacentral:rRNA from 1 species
CAAUAGCGUAUAUUUAAGUUGCUGCAGUUAAAAAGCUCGUAGUUGGAUUUCGGGUGGGAAUGGCCGGUCCGCCGUUUCGGUGUGCACUUGCUACGCCCACCUUGCUGCCGGGGACGUGCUCUUGAGUUCACGCUCGGGACACGGAGUCGGCGAGGUUACUUUGAGUAAAUUAGAGUGUUCAAAGCAGGCCUACGCUCUGAAUACAUUAGCAUGGAAUAACACGAUAGGACUAUGGCCUAUCUUGUUGGUCUGUAGGACCGGAGUAAUGAUUAAGAGGGACAGUCGGGGGCAUUCGUAUUUCAUUGUCAGAGGUGAAAUUCUUGGAUUUAUGAAAGACGAACUACUGCGAAAGCAUUUGCCAAGGAUGUUUUCAUUAA